GAUGAACGCUGGCGGCGUGCUUAAUACAUGCAAGUCGAACGGAGAACCUUUGUAGCAAUACGGAGGUUUCUUAGUGGCGAACGGGUGCGUAACACGUUGGUGACCUGCCUCGAAGUGUGGGAUAACAGUCCGAAAGGACUGCUAAUACCUCAUGUGGUCAUUGGGUUUAGAAGCUAAUGACUAAAGCAGUAAUGCGCUUUGGGAGGGACCUGCGUCCCAUCAGCUAGUUGGUAGGGUAAUGGCCUACCAAGGCAACGACGGGUAGGGGACCUGAGAGGGUCGGUCCCCCACACUGGCACUGAAACACGGGCCAGACACCUACGGGAGGCAG
rnacentral:rRNA from 1 species